rnacentral:lncRNA from 1 species
CAAACACAACAAAUAUCUGUGCACACACGCACACAAUAUACAUGCAUGCACCACACACAAUCCACACACACAACACGCAUGCACACACCAAAACAUACAUACGCUACACGUGCAAACACACACAUACACAACACGCAUGCACACACAACAGACAUAUGCUACACGUGCAAACACACNNNNNNNNNNNNNNNNNNNNNNNNNNNNNNNNNNNNNNNNNNNNNNNNNGAUAGACACACACCACACACAAUUCACACACACAACACGCAUGCACACACCACAACAUACAUACGCUACACGUGUGAACACACAAACACAACACACGUGCACAUACAACAACAUACAUUCGCUACACGUGCAAACACACACACAAACCAACAGCCAUGCACACCUGCUUGGAUCUACUCCAGGGUGACGAGGUGCCUGAGCUCUGCUCUCCUCUCGUGACCGAGAGCCUGUGUGCCUGGAACAUGCACACGCUCCACGUGCCCAUGACGUGCUCGCCGAGUGGAAGCCGUGUGCUGGCUGAGGCCUCCUCACGGAGAAGGGUGGCAGGAAGGAAGCGCAGGAACUGGGUCCCCACGUGGCCGUGAAAUGUCAGGAGAACAGCUUCGUCUCCUCCAGUCAAUUACGUUUUUAAUUUUAAUUUUUUCACUGUUGUCUCUGUUUCAUUGAUAAAUGUACUCUGUUUUUAAGGCUGUGUAGCUGGCUCUCUGUCCGUAUGAAGACAGGAUUGUAGCUUCAUAGGAAGACUGCUGACGUCAUGCUGAGGACUGAGCGUCCGCGUCUUUUGCCUUCUGCCUGCUCCUCCCUCGUCUGCAUCUCGAAGCUCCGUCCCAGGAGAGGGCAAAAGGGCGCAUCCCAAGGAAGCAAAAAGUAUUUGAGAAAACGAACACGUUUUUCUUUGGACAAGAGGUGCUUCUAUUUACAUCACGCCUCGACACAAAGCAGAGACGAGGGUGCCCAGCAAGUGACCCCUGGCUGCCCACGCCGGCAACUCGGGAAGGCCCAGGACGCAGGCUUGGCACUCGAGGCCCUUGGGGGCGCUGGCGUGGACGCGGUAAACCCGAGAGAUGGCAGCUGUGACUGCAGUGGGGGAGACAGCACGGGCCCCGUGAGGGACGGCUGUGGCUCGAGGGCGGGGGCAGGGGUGCCCGGCCCUCCCUGCCCUGGGUGCCGGCCCGUCCUCCCUGGACACAGACUGAUGGCCUGUCCGCCCUGGACACAGACCUGA